ensembl:lncRNA
CACAGAAAGAGAAAGGGAGAUUUUGUUAUGCUUCGGAGCGAGAAAAGGUGACCAGCCACGUGAGAUAUCAGGUGGAGCGACCACGGCCACCUCCCGAGGCAGGAGAUUAAUGCGACUAAACAAGAAACUAAGAGAAGUUUUUGGUUGCUGAACAAGGAGAAGCUAGCACCUGGGUGUCCCCUUCCCUCCCCCACCUGCCUUGGGCUUCAUGUACCACAACAAACAGACACCGAAAAUGUGAGCAAGGUGAGGUGAAUCCUGGGGCUGCUGGACACUCACUGAAGGCAAGGAAUUUUCUGGUGGGUAAGUGAGGGACACUGUCUGACCUCACAGUUGUCUGCACCCUGCUGUGGUUCUAGAAACAGGUCUUAGAGUCUUCUUUUCACCAAGUUUUCCUCAAUACCAAACCAUGGUUCCCUGCCUGCAUUCACCAGCCCCAGUUCAGGACAGUCUUGGGGGAGGUGAAGCUGUGUGAGAAGAUGGCCCAGUUUGAGGCUAAGAAGCUUGCAGAGAGCCAGCCUAAAAGGGAUACCCCAAGAAUGGAAAAGAGCUUACCGGAAGAGAAACAGGAACCCCAGGUUGAGUGGAAAGAAGAAAAAUGAUGGUUUCCCACAGCACAUGAGGAGGAAAUGGCUGAAUGUGAGCAGGUACUGGCUGCUGAGGCCAAGGCCAAGGAUCCCUCCACUGACCUGUCCAAGAUUACCUUUGUGUCGGAUGAGUUUAAGCAUAAGACUCUGUGGCACUGCCAUAUUUUGGGGAGCACUUUGAUAAGGAUGGCUAGACCCCGUGGUGUAGGCAUAAAUUUUUCUCAACUUGUUUUAAGAAGGGUUCAACCUCUCCUCCAGCCCACCACCCACCAGAGGUAGCAGAAAAGAAAGGUUAUUAGGAUACAGGGGAAGUGGUCCGUUUAGAAACAGUUCUUUGGGGCGAUUCUAAUCUUCAUUGUUCUCAGUGCAGUCCACUAGCAAACACCAAACAUGAAUCAGCAGCUGAAGACCAGUCCACUCAGCAGACACCACACACAAAUCAGCAACUGUACUAUAUCCAGAAGAAACCACAAGGUUGGUCACCCAGCCCGAGUCAGGCUUCUUGCUGCAGGUACCUCAUGAGAAGUUCUUGGGCGAGUUUCUCUCUAUGCACGCACCACAGUUGGAGCUCAGGAAUGCAAUGUAAGGCGAACCAACCCAAGGGUGUCGUCAGCCAAGGAUAGCGAGGUAGAGCAAACCAAACCAAUGCUUGAGCUCCUACGUUCUGUGGGGUCAUAUUUAUAGUCCUUUUGAACAUAUCACAUCCUUCCAUGUAUGUGCUUUAGCAAGGCAUCCUUUCUCCCGUGUCUGGUAUCCUUUUACCUGUGUGCCCCAGCAGAACAUUAUUUGACAUAAGUGCCUUUCCAAAGAAAACAGAGUUUCCACUUCAAUGUGGUAUGCUGAGUACCACGUCCCUGAAGUGCUCACCCAGAUCUUCGUGAGUUGUAGCCACAUUGCUAGAAUGCUCUGGAGAUUGAAAAAACAGAGAAAAAGCCUUUGUUAAUGCCCUUCUCUCUGGAACCAGCAACAGCAGCUCCAUUUCUGGCAUUUUGGUCUUCCGAGGCCAAGUGUUUGCCUUUCCAUUGAGUCCAUAUUGGGAGGUGGACAAUGAGUCAUGGGGGAAGCUGGAUUCUCGUGGCAGGAAACCCAGACCCUGGUUUGACAGUACUUUUCCCAGGAGGGGGGGCUUCCAGUACAUGGGCAAUGCUGUCAAUCAAGGCACGACCUGCAGGUGAACAUAUAGAGACAGAGACAGAGCUAUUCAUUAUACAAGGUCUGCUCCUCUGGAUUACCCCGACUAAUACACGGUGAUGUAGCACCGAACUGGAACCCACCAGGGAGGAUCGAAGGACAUAGUUCAGAGGCAGAACACUUUCCAAGUAUGAAUAAAAGCCUGGGUUGUCAUUACAAGAGAAGAGGAGAAGUUGGGGUGGGGGGAGAAAGAAGAGCAUGAGGAGUCAGGGGAAGGAGAAAAAGC